rnacentral:rRNA from 1 species
ACGAACGUUGGCGGCGUGGAUUAGGCAUGCAAGUCGAGCGAGGGCAGCUGUGUAGCAAUAUAUGGCUGAAUCGAGCGGCGAAAGGGGCAGUAAUGCGUGGAUAACUUGCCCUGGGGACGGGGAUAGCCAUUCUAACGAGUGGGUAAUACCCGGCGAUGUAGCGAGGGGGCAUCCUCUUGCUACCAAAUGAAUUUCGCCCCGGGAGGGGUUCACGUGGUAUUAGCUAGUUGGUGGGGUUACGGCCUACCAAGGCUGAGAUGCCUAGCAGGUGUGAGAGCACGACCUGCGCCACUGGCACUGAGACACUGGCCAGACACCUACGGGUGGCUGCAGUCGAGAAUCUUCGGCAAUGGGCGCAAGCCUGACCGAGCGACGCCGCGUGGAGGAUGAAGGCCUUCGGGUUGUAAACUCCUGUCGUAGGGGAGGAAAGCGCAAGCUUGACCUAUCCUAGGAGGAAGCACGGGCUAAGUUCGU